UUUUUGUUUGUAUCGUUUUUUUUUUUUGGAUAUGAAGAACAUAUCCGGAUCUUUUUUUGGCUGUCUGGAUGUCCUUCGAAAUCUGACGUUUUAUUUCCCCUGAAACGAUUAAAGUUCAUACAACGCGCGAUGAGAUUGAAGUUGUCCAGUUUUAGAUCUCAUAAUCUCCAGAAUUAUAAAGUCACAAAGGUUUUUAUAUGUCGAUUCUCAUUAACAGAGUUCCUGAAACUCAAAUAAAUAAUCGUCUAUAGUGUUUUGGACCUGAAUAUCAAUGAUGGAUAAUAUAGAAGUUUUGCCAGAGAAGAUAAGAAUCCACUCCAGUCUUUCUUAUAAAUUGAAUCUGAUCAAACAUUACUUUAUAUAUGAUAAAACUUACUUUUACAUAUUUGUUGUGUAGGUUAAAUUCAAAGACAACAUGUUAAUGAAAACUAAUCAUCUAUGGUACUUGUGUUUAAACACCAAUUCAGACCAGAUAAAGGGCCACAAUCUGCAACUUUGGGACAGAUUCACGGAAAGCGAGAGACAGACCAUCAUUUGGAAGGUUGUAUGACAUCAGAUACAAAGUGUUAUAGGAAGGUGGGAGCCGAAUAUUACCUUUUUAUGUUUUCACUUUGACAAACCGGAGGACGCAAACCACAAUGACACCAUUAGAUGCCUGGCAGGCUCCGAAUACUUUUUCAGCGAAUAAGCCCCACAAGGUUGUAUAUGUCGAUCCUCAUUAACAGAGAAUAUUAUAGCCAAUGGUUUUUCCUUGGAAUGAUGGUCUGUCUCUCGCUUUCCGUGAAUCUGUCCCAAAGUUACAGAUUGUGGCUGUUGUUAACUUCAACUGUCUCCAUAUCACCAAUGUUCACCACUUGACCGAUCACAUCUGUAAAUUUUGUACCACAUAUAGAAACCAUUAGAGGAAGUUAAUGUUUUUAAAUCGUCCAUACUUUAAGAAUAUAAUAAGAAAUCAAUAACAAUUACCAAUCAACAUGUUAGUGUUAAGCGCUGGAUCUUCAACUCUUUCAAACUUUGUCAAGCUUAGGAAGUUUGAGUCGGACUUAGGAUCACUAACAGCAACAUAGGUCCUAUUGACAAAACUAAGUUUGUACAAAUGAGUAGUCGGACGGAACUGUCCAACCGCAUGAGUGAGUGAAAAGGUCUCGAUGAACCUCCAUGAGCCAAUGGGAAGGUGGUUGACAUAACGGUUCACCAAGUCUUUUUUCACGGACCCGUGUAUUUUCAUUCCCUAUAAUAUAUAAUAUAAAAUAGUGAGGGAAGAGAAACUUAUGAAAAGCAUAGAUUAUAUAUGAAAGUGAUACUCACAGUCUUGUCAACCAAAAUGAGUUCAAGUGUUUCUCCUGUGGUAGCUCUAUACUGCGCCAAUUAUGAAGGUCUCGGAGGAAAGCAAAAGAAGUCGCCAUUGUUUUAGAAAUUUUUGCUAAGUCGAAGGAAAAAGUUAAGAGGUCUUAUACUUUCUAUAUUUUCAGCCAACAAAGCUGUGUUAUUUUUUAAAUCUUUUAUUAAUUGUAAAUAGAAUGACAUUAUCUAUAAAUAAGUCUGAACUCAAAGUCUUC